GAAUAAUUAAACAAACCAAAUGGCAUCACUGAUGGUUCUUUUUUCCACUCCGCUAAACUGUCAUCUCAAACAAAACAAAUGCAUCAUACAACUGCUAUGAAUACAUUCGACUCGUUUGCUUCCAUCAAUCGGUAAGUGAGAAAGAAGAUUUCUCCCAUCACCACAGUGCGGAUUUCCACUUCUAUCACAGCAGCCAACAACAUCCGUUUUCCUGCAGCAGUAACCUCCAACCCCUAUUGGCAAUGCCGGGGGACAGCAUUAACAGCAGCAGCAGCAGAAUUUGACCAUGAUAUGCACCCCUAUUCUGUAUUCCGAUCGAUUCGAAAUAUUCCGAACGACUUGAUAAAAUUCUAUUCUGUAUUCCGUUCGAGUUGUUUUUGCAUUUCGUUCGAUCUGUUUCUCUUCAAACAUUAAAUGGUUAAAGCGUUCGAAAUAGAGAAUAUGAAAUUAUAACUCGAACGAAAUAACGGUUUCGAACGAAAUGAAAAUCCGUCGGAAUACAGAAUAGGGCUGAUGGUAUUGCGAAGAACUUUCCCCAUUAGAGGUUCCGUGCUUCGCGCACAUUCAAAAAUCCUCUUCAGACACGAAAACUCAACGACGAGGAGGUAUUUAUCAACUUGCUCAGCUGAAUUACCACCCGGAGGAACCCGAAUGCACUGAUUCCGUUGUAUAGUAGAAUGAAAAUAGGCGAGGUAAGCGAACGUAAUCGCAUGAUAUUUUAACGUUCGCAUUUUUAUCCGGAUCAUACAACUGCUAUGAAUACAUCCAACUCAAUCAAUCAGCGAGUGAGAAAGAUGAUUUCCCUCAUCACCACAUUGCUUAUUUCCACUUCUGUCACGCCAGCCAACAGCAUCAGCUUUCCCGCAGCAGUGAUUUCGCAAGUGAAGUAUUGCUGUGAUAUAUUAAAAAAAACAAUCUACUGAAAUACAUUGUCUUCGUUAUGUAUGUCAAA